rnacentral:rRNA from 1 species
UACGUAGGUGGCAAGCGUUGUUCGGAAUUAUUGGGCGUAAAGGGCGGGUAGGCGGUUUGCUAAGUCAGUUGUGAAAGCCCGGGGCUCAACCCCGGAGGGUCGGCUGAUACUGGUGGACUAGAGUACGGAAGAGGUAGCUGGAAUUCCCGGUGUAGCGGUGAAAUGCGUAGAUAUCGUAAGGAAGACCAGUGGCGAAGGCGAGUCUCUGGACAGCAACUGACGCUGAGGCACGAAGGCCAGGGGAGCAAACGGG